AUGAUGGAGAGUUUGAUCCUGGCUCAGAACGAACGCUGGCGGCGCGUUUUAAGCAUGCAAGUCGAGCGGCAGCAGCAAUGCGAGAGCGGCGGACGGGUGAGUAACACGUGGGUAAUCUGCCCUCCGGUCGGGAAUAGCCUGUGGAAACACAGGAUAAUACCGGAUGCGAUGGCUGCCUCACAAGAGGC
rnacentral:rRNA from 1 species